rnacentral:rRNA from 1 species
AGAUGGUGAACUAUGCCUGAAUAGGGCGAAGCCAGGGGAAACCCUGGUGGAAGCCCGCAGCGAUUCUGACGUGCAAAUCGAUCGUCAAAUUUGGGUAUAGGGGCGAAAGACUAAUCGAACCGUCUAGUAGCUGGUUCCCUCCGAAGUUUCCCUCAGGAUAGCUGGAGCCCGGUGCAGUUUUAUCAGGUAAAGCGAAUGAUUAGAGGUCUUGGGGUCGAAACGACCUCAACCUAUUCUCAAACUUUAAAUGGGUAAGAAGUCUGGCUUGCUCGACUGAAGUCGGACACGGAAUGCCGGGGCUCCUAGUGGGCCAUUUUUGGUAAGCAGAACUGGCGAUGUGGGAUGAACCGAAAGCCGGGUUAAGGUGCCCGAAUCGACGCUCAGCA